UAACUGUAUAUGGACUGGCUUCUAACU
rnacentral:piRNA from 1 species